rnacentral:rRNA from 1 species
CCUACGGGAGGCAGCAGUGGGGAAUAUUGCGCAAUGGGCGAAAGCCUGACGCAGCGACGCCGCGUGAGGGAUGAAGGUCUUCGGAUCGUAAACCUCUGUCAGCAGGGAAGAACGGUCACUGUGCUAAUCAGCAGUGAAUUGACGGUACCUGCAAAGGAAGCACCGGCUAACUCCGUGCCAGCAGCCGCGGUAAUACGGAGGGUGCGAGCGUUAAUCGGAAUUACUGGGCGUAAAGCGCUCGUAGGCGGUAUGUCAAGUCUAGGGUGAAAUCCCCGCGCUCAACGUGGGAACUGCCUUUGAUACUGGCAAACUGGAGUGUGAGAGAGGAUAGUGGAAUUCCAGGUGUAGGAGUGAAAUGCGUAGAUAUAUGGAAGAACACCAGUGGCGAAGGCAGCUAUCUGGCACAUGACUGACGCUGAGGGGCGAAAGCGUGGGUAGCAAACAGGAUUAGAUACCCGGGUAGUC